rnacentral:rRNA from 1 species
GUCCUGUUUCCCAUGUUCCAGGAGCUUGCACCACAUGACCCACACGACAAGUGUGGUCACCACUACGUGAUCUGCCUUGACCUGAAGAACCAACGUUUUGAGGUGCUUGAUUCAAUGCGUUCGGCAGCUGAUGCAGACCUUACUACGCAUGCUGGAUACUUCAUCAACAACCUCAAAGAGACAUGGAACCGUCACUACGAACACUCAAAGGUCCAGAUCAGACAUUUUCCAAUUGAGUACGUGGCGACUACGAAGCAAGGGAACAAGAUGGACGGUGGAUUUCACAUGUUGGAAUACCUUGCAAAGUGGGAAGGCAGACUGGUUCCUAUCGUCACAGCUACAAUGGUCGUUAAGCUUCGGAAAAUUUACGCAUGGAACUGGUUGACAAAGAAAGAUUUCAACAAGCAGUCCGGAGCACGUGAGUUUGUAGAGGAAGUUGUCAAG